ACCCGGGAAAUGGCAGGUGUCCUCUGAGGAGAGCUGAGCAGGAGAGGAGCUGGGGCCUGGGAAUGGCAGGUGUCUGCUGAGGGGAACUGUGUUGAGGAGGAGCUGGGACCUGGGAAUGGCAGGUGUCCGCUGAGGGGAACCGUGUGGGGGAGGAGCUGGGACCCUGGAAUGGCAGGUGUCCGCUGAGGGGAACCGUGCAGGGGAGGAGCUGGGACCUGGGAAUGGCAGGUGUCCUCUGAGGAGAGCUGAGCAGGAGAGGAGCUGGGACUCGGGAAUGGCAGGUGUCUGCUGAGGGGAACCGUGUUGAGGAGGAGCUGGGACUUGGGAAUGGCAGGUGUCUGCUGAGAACUGGGUGGGAGAGGAGCUGGGAUCCGGGAAUGGCAGGUGUCCGCUGAGGGGAACCGUGCAGGGGAGGAGCUGGGACCCUGGAAUGGCAGGUGUCCGCUGAGGGGAACCGUGCAGGGGAGGAGCUGGGACCCGGGAAUGGCAGGUGUCCUCUGAGGAGAGCUGAGCAGGAGAGGAGCUGGGGCCUGGGAAUGGCAGGUGUCUGCUGAGGGGAACUGUGUUGAGGAGGAGCUGGGACCCGGGAAUGGCAGGUGUCCGCUGAGGGGAACCGUGUGGGGGAGGAGCUGGGACCCGGGAAAUGGCAGGUGUCCUCUGAGGGGAACCGUGUCGGGGAGGAGCUGGGACCCGGGAAAUGGCAGGUGUCCUCUGAGGGGAACCGGGCGGGAGAGGAGCUGGGGCCUGGAAGGCCAAGGCAAGGGCUGUCUCCAGUCCACGCUGCACCCCAA
rnacentral:lncRNA from 1 species